rnacentral:sRNA from 1 species
AUCCCUUAUAAAACGGGGAUCGGGCGUAGGAACCCGUUUAACUGUGAGGCGACAAAUGACGCCAGAAGCGUCUUUUUU